UACGGAGGGGGCGAGCGUUAUUCGGAAUUAUUGGGCGUAAAGGGCGCGUAGGCGGCUGUACAAGUCAAAGGUGAAAUCCCUCGGCUCAACUGAGGAACUGCCUUUGAAACUGUACGGCUUGAGGCCGGGAGGGGGUAGCGGAAUUCCCAGUGUAGCGGUGAAAUGCGUAGAUACCGGGAGGAACACCAGUGGCGAAGGCGGCUACCUGGUCCGAUACUGACGCUGAGGCGCGAAAGCCAGGGGAGCAAACGGG
rnacentral:rRNA from 1 species